GCACUGCUGACGAGUCCCAAAUAGGACGAGACAGUGUCCAAUGC
rnacentral:hammerhead_ribozyme from 1 species